rnacentral:misc_RNA from 1 species
UUCUUAUAACUUUUUAUAUAACCUCACUCAUGACUUGAAAACGUUUUUAAAAAGAUUGAAGUGGAGACUCGCAUCUCCCCUCCAAAUAGUGCACAAAAGGUGUAAGGGUUAGGAUUCAGCACCUAACCUCUUAGGACAGAGGAAAGGGCCGAGAUAAUCCAAUAAUGAUCCUUCCGCAGGUUCACCUACGGAAA